AUCCUACUCCCUCCGUCCCAAAAUUCUUGUCUUAGAUUUGUCUAGAUAUGAAUGUAUCUAGUCACGUUUUAAUAUUUAGAUACAUUCAUUUUUAAAUAAACGUGAGACAAGAAAUUUGGGACGGAGGGAGUAUUAG
rnacentral:pre_miRNA from 1 species